GACGAACGCUGGCGGCGUGCCUAAUACAUGCAAGUUGAGCGCCGAAGGUUGGUACUUGUACCAACUGGAUGAGCAGCGAACGGGUGAGUAACGCGUGGGGAAUCUGCCUUUGAGCGGGGGACAACAUUUGGAAACGAAUGCUAAUACCGCAUAAAAACUUUAAACACAAGUUUUAAGUUUGAAAGAUGCAAUUGCAUCACUCAAAGAUGAUCCCGCGUUGUAUUAGCUAGUUGGUGAGGUAAAGGCUCACCAAGGCGAUGAUACAUAGCCGACCUGAGAGGGUGAUCGGCCACAUUGGGACUGAGACACGGCCCAAACUCCUUCGGGAGGCAGCAGUAGGGAAUCUUCGGCAAUGGACGAAAGUCUGACCGAGCAACGCCGCGUGAGUGAAGAAGGUUUUCGGAUCGUAAAACUCUGUUGGUAGAGAAGAACGUUGGUGAGAGUGGAAAGCUCAUCAAGUGACGGUAACUACCCAGAAAGGGACGGCUAACUACGUG
rnacentral:rRNA from 1 species